rnacentral:rRNA from 1 species
AACGUAGGUGGCAAGCGUUAUCCGGAUUUACUGGGCGUAAAGCGUGUGCAGGCGGGUGGACAAGUGGGGUAUGAAAUCCCCAGGCUUAACCUGGGAACUGCGUCUGAUACUGGAUGGCUUGAAUUCGGGAGAGGGAUGCAGAAUUCCAGGUGUAGCGGUGAAAUGCGUAGAUAUCUGGAGGAAUACCGGUGGCGAAGGCGGCAUCCCGGACCGAGAUUGACGCUGAUGAGCGAAAGCUAGGGGAGCAAACGGG